rfam:Ovis aries breed Texel chromosome 7, whole genome shotgun sequence.
UCCCUGGUGGCUCAGAGGUUAAAGCGUCUGCCCCCAAUGCGGGAGACCCGGGUUCGAUCCCUGGGUCGGGAA